ACCUGGCACGUCGCAGGACAGCUGUCACUUAACGUUGUUGAACUGAAUCAAGCUUUUGACUUUGUACGCUAUAAACACCAAUGUAACGAUGGCAACUUGGAACUAAAACUGAGUGUCACACAGGAGGACAAUGUAACAGUGUAUGCAGCGUGUGAGCAGGCUGUAACACGUAACCAAGGAGGAGCUAUGAAGAAGUAAAGGAUAUCAUUAAGGAAUUGUAGGACAGAACUAGGCUGGUCAUGGAACAAGAGCAGGAAUGACAGUUUUGGAUGAUCUCCCCUCAAAAGAAAACCACCGCUUCCUGUCCACUCUACCUCUCUGUUUUUCGUUACCAAGUAAUAAAUACUACAAGCAACUGAUACAGGUAGGCAGUUUGUCUGAAGGCCUUCAGAACAAGUGCCCUCCUGGCUCUAUCUACAGGACACCACAUUUUUAGAUGAAAAAUGAAAAAUUCAGCCAAAAAUACAUAUAUUUUCAAAUCAUCCAGAUGGCUGAUAUUUUUACAGGACUUUGCUGCUGGCCUCUUUCACCUCAUUCCUGGAAUACUGCAAAAAUUUGCUGGUUUGCCUCCCUGUUUCAAAUUUCUCCUCAUUUCAAACUAUCCUCCAAUCAGUUGACAAAGAUGUCUGCCUAAAACAAAGGUCUGACCAUAUCACCACCCCUUUCCCAUUUCAAUAGACUCCAGUGACCAGUAUCAAAUAGAAAAUCCUUUGGUUUUUUUUUAAGAGCUUUUCCACCUAGCUACCUCCUCCCUUUCCAGUCUGCUUACUUUUUACUUCCCUCCACUAUUCUAUGGCUCAGAAAUACUAGCCUUUCCUCUUUUCCUUAUAUACAACACUCCAUCUCCUGACUGUAACUUUUCACUGGAUGACCACCACACCUGGAAUACUCUCCCCUCCCACCUCUGUCUCCUGGUUUCCAUGGCUUCCUUCAAGAGUAAAUUCAAACCCCACUUUGUGCAGCAGGCCAUCUUCAAUUCACACCCCCAACCCCAUUUCUUGCUAUUCUUUUUGUCACCAGUGGCUAGCACGAUGCCUAGAAUACAGUAAGAACUUAAUAAGUGUCCUAUUAACUUGAUGAUAUGCACUGUUCCUUAGCACCUAGAGUCUUGAUAAAAGUCUACAUAGCUCCUUUA